UAGCAAGCACACUCGGGCCGAUUCUGGCUGAAAUGCGGCACUGUCGGCUCAGUCACGACGUCGGUGAGAAGAUAAUGGGCCAGAGCCGCGCCGACUCUACAAAACACUUCUGGCUGACAGACGGCUUUUUCUCUCUGGGCCGAUCUCGGCUGAAAGCUGUUGUACGUGCGGCAGGUCCACACUCGGUGUAGUUGCGUGUAUCUACCUUCGGCCCGAGCUGGUUUUGUCUCCGGCGGCCGCUGCUAGAAUGAAGAUCAGCCGCUGAGAGAGAGAUUUGGCGGUUAAUCCUGAGGAGAUUUCGGCGGACACAGUUCUCAAGAGGAAUACUUCAGCUGCAAAAAGAAAUUCUGAGCUGCUGCAUGAACAUUCAUCAAACAUAUAAGGCUGCAAUUUGGAAAAAACCUUCAUGCUAAUGCUGCUGAAAUGGAGGUCAAGGGGACUGAAGAGGUGGCUCCAGCUGAUCAAAAGGGUGGACUUCAGGAGGCAGACACACUCUUAAUCCGCUGAUCCAGUCAGUAUCCAGACCAGGUGGUGGACCUGCACCCAGGAACAACCACAACACAUCCCUGACUGUCAGCGGAGACCAUGUCAGCUAGAUGACAGAUCCCUGUGAAGACCUCAUUGAUGGCCUCAGCACAGAUCCUCAGCAAAGACUACGAGAACCAGACAAGCC